rnacentral:lncRNA from 1 species
CUGAUCCACUUCACUGGGAAUAUUGAGGAGAGGAUUCCCAAAGAGCUCUACUACUGUAUAAUUUGUCCUGUGGGGAAAACUGCAUUGAUUGUUGAAGAGACCAAAGGAAUUUUAAAUCAGAACUGGAGAAGGAACUGGCAAACCACUCCAGUCUCUUUGUCAAGAAAAUCCAAAUGGGGUCACCAAGAGUCAGCCACACCUGAAAUGACUAAACAACAAUAUUAUAGAGAAAGAAAAAAAGAUGUUCCUUAAUGCUCCAUACCAAAGAAGGUACACUCUCCUGAAUUAUUCUCCUUUUCUUUUUCUGAGACAGGACAUUAAAACAAACUGAAAAAUACUCUCUACUUUGAAAUCUAAAUUUUUCACUAAUAAAUAUGAUUAGUAUGAGUGAUCUCUGUUUAUA